CUUGUAGGCGGUUUGUCGCGUCUGCUGUGAAAAUCCGAGGCUCAACCUCGGACUUGCAGUGGGUACGGGCAGACUAGAGUGUGGUAGGGGAGACUGGAAUUCCUGGUGUAGCGGUGAAAUGCGCAGAUAUCAGGAGGAACACCGAUGGCGAAGGCAGGUCUCUGGGCCACUACUGACGCUGAGAAGCGAAAGCAUGGGGAGCGAACA
rnacentral:rRNA from 1 species